rnacentral:rRNA from 1 species
AUAACAUAAUAAUUACAACUUUCAACAACGGAUCUCUUGGUUCUGGCAUCGAUGAAGAACGCAGCGAAAUGCGAUAAGUAGUGUGAAUUGCAGAAUUCAGUGAAUCAUCGAAUCUUUGAACGCACAUUGCGCCCCUUGGUAUUCCAUGGGGCAUGCCUGUUCGAGCGUCAUUUGUACCCUCAAGCUCUGCUUGGUGUUGGGUGUUUGUCCUCUCCUUUGUGUUUGGACUCGCCUUAAAGUAAUUGGCAGCCAGUGUUUUGGUAUUGAAGCGCAGCACAUUUUGCGAUUCUAGCCGAUAAUACUUGUGUCCAUAAGCCUUUUUUUCACUUUUGACCUCGGAUCAGGUAGGGAUACCCGCUGAACUUAAGCAUAUCAAUAAGCGGAGGAAAAGAAACCAACAGGGAUUGCCCUAGUAACGGCGAGUGAAGCGGCACAGCUC